rnacentral:snRNA from 1 species
CUUCAAUGUCAUUAAUGAAA